GAGAAGGGAAUCUUGGGGAGGGGGGACAAAAGGAAGAACCGCUCACCAGGAAGUACACAAAGGGGAUUAGAGAUCGCCUGCGGGAGUCGGAGCCCUAGGGUCCAGGAUGGAUGUGGCGGACCCGCAGCAGCUGGGCAUGUUUACAGAGGGCGAGCUGAUGUCGGUGGGGAUGGACACGUUCAUCCAUCGCAUCGACUCUACUGAGGUCAUCUACCAGCCCCGCCGCAAGCGGGCCAAGCUCAUCGGCAAGUACCUGAUGGGGGACCUGCUGGGGGAGGGGUCGUAUGGCAAAGUGAAGGAGGUGCUGGACUCAGAAACGCUGUGCAGGAGAGCUGUCAAAAUCCUCAAGAAGAAGAAGUUGCGAAGGAUCCCCAACGGGGAGGCCAAUGUGAAGAAGGAAAUCCAACUACUGAGGAGGUUGCGGCACAAAAAUGUCAUCCAGCUGGUGGAUGUGCUGUACAAUGAGGAGAAGCAGAAGAUGUAUAUGGUGAUGGAGUACUGCGUGUGUGGCAUGCAGGAGAUGCUGGAUAGUGUGCCAGAGAAGCGCUUCCCCGUGUGUCAGGCCCACGGGUACUUCUGCCAGCUGGUGGAUGGGCUGGAGUACCUGCACAGCCAGGGCAUCGUGCACAAGGACAUUAAGCCUGGCAACCUGCUGCUCACCACAGGUGGCACACUCAAGAUCUCUGACCUGGGUGUGGCUGAGGCCCUGCACCCCUUUGCUGAGGAUGACACCUGCCGAACGAGCCAGGGCUCCCCUGCGUUCCAGCCGCCUGAGAUUGCCAAUGGCCUGGACACCUUCUCUGGCUUCAAGGUGGACAUCUGGUCGGCUGGGGUCACGCUCUACAACAUCACAACAGGACUGUACCCGUUCGAGGGGGACAACAUCUACAAGCUGUUUGAGAACAUCGGGAAGGGGGACUACAGCAUCCCUGGGGACUGCGGACCCCCCCUCUCAGACCUGCUGAGAGGAAUGCUGGAAUACGAGCCGGCCAAGAGGUUUUCCAUACAGCAGAUCCGGCAGCACAGCUGGUUCCGGAAGAAGCACCCACCAGCUGAGGAGCCAGUGCCCAUCCCACCAAGCACGGACUGCAAGGACCGGUGGCGCGGCAUGACGGUGGUGCCGUACUUGGAAGAUUUGCACGGCUGUGCAGAUGACGUGGACGACGAGCUCUUCGACAUCGAGGACGACAUUAUCUACACUCAGGACUUCACGGUGCCUGGUGAGUCCCACAGGCUUCGGCUUCGCAGCUGGUCCUCAUGUCUACCUGGCACCCCUGGGCUGACCUAGGAGGGGCCUCCCAGGGUGCCUCCUCCUCCCUACAGGAGUAGGUGGAGGCCACAGGCUUCCUCCUGCAUCCCAGGCACGUGCCCCUUGGUGGGUGGUGGUGCACUUGGGGGAGGACCCCCCACACGGGCCUGAGGGUCCGGUGGCCCUCCUGGUGCUGACACACUCCUGAUACGUGGCCUUCUUCCCCAGGUGGCGAGGAAGCAUCUGAGGCAGGGCUUAGAGAGAGAGGCCUGCAGGAAAGCCAGUGCUCAGACCUUUCUGGAGAGGAAGCUGAGGCUAGGGCCACCGAGGAGCUCCACGUGGAGCCUGGGCCUUAGUAUAGCAGUGCCCCCACCCUGCACAGCCACCAUCGUAGUGUCCAGGCCGCUGCACCCCCACGGGCCCUUGGACCUUCCUGAGGUCUGAGGGAGGCUGGGCCACUGCCUCACCCCAAGGCAUCCACACUUCUGUGCUGUCCCCAGACUGGUUCCCAGCAUAAAGGUCUGCCCUGCUGAGUGUGUGCGACUCAUGCUUGCCUCCUCCCGGCUCACUGGCAGGGCUUAGGUUUUUACUGUAGGAAGAGUUCGUGUUCAGGGUGGCCUGUUGGGUGGUGGCCCUCCAGCGAGCGGCUCCGGGGGUGUUCCGUGGGUCCCAUUCCCCCCAGGACAUGCUCAGAACUCGUGCCCCCUAUGCCUUGUCUCAGCUCUUUCCCUGUGGGGUCCUGGGAACUGGACGUCUGGGAGGUGGCAUGUAUGUGUUGUGCCCAGCCUUGGAACCCUGGUCCUGGCCAGGCCACUUAUGAGUCUGCGGACUCCUGGAGCCUCUGUUCCCUCAAGAGAAUAGGAUGGAGGAGACUGUCUGAGGCUCUAAGGCCAAGUGACACCGUGUAAGGACCCCACCAGUCCCCACACUGACCACUUGCUUCAGGUCUGUGCCAGAGGCUUGGGGCUGCCUUUCCUGGGUCGGGGAGGGCUUGUCCAGGAGUGACUCUCAGAGCCUGAGCCAGAUGCCUGGCCCAGGAGUACUCCCCACCAGAAAGGGGAGAGCCCCGCACUGAGGUUAGGCGGCCACUUCUCUUUGACCUGCUUGUAGGUCAGCCAAGCUGUGCCAGGGCUAAGGCUCUUCCCACUCCGGUUCCAGUCAUGUGGUCACAUUCAGUGCCUGCUGCUCCUGCAGCCUCCUAUAUGCUGAGAGGAGGCUUCUCCCACUCACCCUCUCCCAUCCUGAACUCUGAGUUCUGACCUGAAAUGCUUUUUAUGUGAUGCCAGUAGGCUCCCAGCAAGUUCCAGAGGCCACCAAGUCAGGCUCUGGAUGCCAGUGGCGGAGGUAGGGCUCUGUGUGGAGAAGAGAAGGGCUCAAAGCGGUUAAGGGCAGUCCCUGCCGAUGUCCACAUGAGAAGGCUGGGCAGCGCAGGCACAUGGGCUCCCUGCACCCCUCCCUCUGCCCCAUGCCUUGCCAGGAGCACAUAUCUGGGUGGGCAGCCCCAGGCCAUUGGCCCUCAGAUGCAAUUGAGGGCUGUCUGCCUGCACAGUAGGGGUGGGACUCAGCAGGUGUUGUCUCUCCCUUUGUGCCUGGUGUGGAGAGCCAGGGUGGGCUGUUGUGGGAGAGAGGUCGGCACCCCAGCCCAAAUGUACCCCCUUUGAGUCCCACAGGGUCCAGCAAGGUUUGGCCUUUGCACAGGUGAGAGAACAGAGGCUGGGGCGCAGGACCCUGUCCUUCACCAUGUUCCCGCAGUGAAGGGUGAGCAGGACAGCCUGGAGCCUGCCCAAGUGCAGCCCAUACCUGAACAGGCAGGUGAGCGUGGGCUGGGCCUGGGCCUGGCCCUGGCCAAUUGGCUCUAAGACCAGCUCUCCCUCUGCCUGCAUUAGGACCGUGAUGGCAGGCCCUGGACAGGUCAGGUGGAGGAGGAGCCUGGGCCCCACUGGCUGGAGGACAGGUCCUGGAGGAGGAGGCAGGUCGGAGCGUACAGAGUCGGGGCCUGCCUAAGGCUGUAUGCGUGAACGGCACCGAGUCAGUCCAGCUGAGUGCCAAGUCGAGAGCGGAGCGCCGGGCCAGCGCCACCUCCAACCCCACCCGCAAGGCCUGUUCGGCCAGCAGCAAGAUCCGCCGGCUGUCAGCCUGCAAGCAGCAGUGAGGGUGGCUGCCUCCAGCCUAUCUCCAGGAGCCCCAGCCAGGUCCUGCUCAGUCUUCCUGCCUACUGCUGGUCUGCUGCCCACCGCCCCAGGAAGGCCGACGCUGCACCCUUCGUGCUGACCGCCCCUUCAGAAGCCAGGGGGUCCUAGAGGGCUGUGGCUAGGGGCAGCAGAGACUGGAGCCCGUCCCUCCCCUGAUGGCCGGUGGACACGAUCUCCUGCUGACUGCAAUCCUAUGCUGAGCCCCCUCCCCCAGCCAGGGGAGGAGGGAGAGGGCCCGGUGUGGCCCCGAGCCAGCCUUUGCCAUGCACUUUACGUUGAGACUACUGGUUCUCGCCCACCCUGACUCCUCUUUUUACUCUGCCACUCGUUAGCGCCUCCCACACCUGGUGAUGUGUUCAAGCCAACCACAGCGGCAGCAGGAUGGGCGUGACGACCAGGCCUGUCCACUGAGAUGCAUGCCUAGUGCCCAAGGGAGCCAGGCGGCUGCCUUGUUUUGUUGUUUUGGUUGGUUCCUGUUUCUUUUUUUCUUUUUUCUUUUUUUUUUUUUUAAGAAAAAAUAAAACAGGUGGAUUUGAGUUGUGGUCAUGAGGGAUGUUUGGGAAUUGUGGGUGGCAGGAUGUAUUAUCAAGUGGGUGAUCAGAGUCUGAGCCUGGGGCCCUUUGUAGAUCCUGUGGUGGAGGGGCUGGCCGGGGUCUGCAGGUCUUGCUGGUAGUGCCUGGUAGGGACAUGGCCUUUGGCCAUGUUGGAUCUCUGUGCUGUCUUGGUGACCCAGCCUCCAGAAAGCUCCAGAGCCCAUGGCUGCACAGUUCAGUGGCCUGGAGAUCCUGAUCCCUUUCCCCCCAAGGCCUCUGUGCUCUUGGAUCCCAUGAGAAAACUCAGAGCCAGCAAGAGUAUGCAGUAAAUAUAAUCAACCAGAAAACAAAACACAAACUCCAUCACUGGAUGGCACACUGACAGUGCGAAGCUUCGAAGGAAGGGACGGGGCAGGGCGACUCGGCCGCUGGCGAGGGCUGCCCCAUCUUUUGGCAAUAAAUAAAGCUUGGGAAACUUGAAA